UGGGGAAUAUUGGGCAAUGGGGGAAACCCUGACCCAGCGACGCCGCGUGAGGGAAGACGGCCUUCGGGUUGUAAACCUCUUUUGUACGGGAAGAAGGAAGUGACGGUACUGUACGAAUAAGUCCCGGCUAACUACGUGCCAGCAGCCGCGGUAAUACGUAGGGGACGAGCGUUGUCCGGAAUUACUGGGCGUAAAGGGCGCGCAGGCUGUGCUGCAAGUCAGCUGUGAAAUGUCUGGGCUUAACCCGGGCAUGCGGUUGAGACUGCAGUGCUGGAGUGCUGUAGAGGCAAGUGGAAUUCCCAGUGUAGCGGUGAAAUGCGUAGAUAUUGGGAAGAACACCGGUGGCGAAGGCGACUUGCUGGGCAGCAACUGACGCUGAGGCGCGAAAGCCAGGGGAGCAAACGG
rnacentral:rRNA from 1 species